CUACGGGAGGCACCAGUGGGGAAUAUUGGACAAUGGAGGCAACUCUGAUCCAGCAAUUCCGCGUGAAUGAUGAAGGUCUUCGGAUUGUAAAUUCUUUUAGUUGGGAAGAUAGUGACGGUACCAACAGAAAAAGCACCGGCGUAAUUACGUGCCAGCAGCCGCGGUAAGACGUAAGGUGCAAGCGUUAUCCGGAAUUACUAAGCGUAAAGGGCAUCUAGGCGGCUAAUUAAGUCAGAGGUGAAAAGUCAGGGCUCAACCUUGGCCUUGCCUUUGAUACUGGUAAGCUAGAGUACGGGAGAGGAGGGCGGAACUACAAGUGUAGCGGUGAAAUGCGUAGAUAUUUGUAGGAAUGCCAAUGACGAAGGUAGCUCUCUGGACCGAUACUGACGCUAAAGUGCGAAAGCUAGGGGAGCAAACAGGAUUAGAUACCCCGGUAGUC
rnacentral:rRNA from 1 species